UCCGGUUUAUCACCGGCAGUCUCCUCAGAAGGCCCUAUCUCUAGGGUUGUCAGAGGCAUUCUAGCCCAGGUAAGGUUCUUCGCGUUGCGUCGAAUUAAACCACAUGCUCCACCGCUUGUGCGGGUCCCCGUCAAUUCCUUUGAGUUUCAGUCUUGCGACCGUACUCCCCAGGCGGAAUGCUUAAAGCGUUAGCGACGGCACCCGGGGACUUUAUAACCCCAGACACCAAGCAUUCAUCGUUUAAGGCUAGGACUAC
rnacentral:misc_RNA from 1 species